AGAGAAUAGGUAGCUCCACCGAUUCAGACUAAAUGGAUCGAGUUGUGAAUCAGUUGUUAACAAUGAUUGAUGGUUUUCACAAUAUGAACAACAUCUUCAUUGUUGGAACAACCAACAAAUUGGACCUUAUACAUCCUGCUCUUCUGAGCUACUUUGACAGUUUGACUCCAAGUUGGACUGGAGUAGAUCUCGAAAGUCUCACAAGAUUGGCGCUGUUAAAUGCUUUAACUCGGGUCAUGGGAGGCACAUUUGGAAAAUUUUGAAAGGAUGGAAGAAAACAGAAGGACACAACACGAGUACACUAGACAUCUAGCCUCCUCCAAGAUGACACAGGCAAAACUUGGGAGAAUUACACAAUUCAAAAACAGGCAAAUGCAUCAUGCUUGAGACUUGAAAGACCAUUUAGCUAGAUUAUGAACAGUCUUGUUGACUUCUCAAUGGACCCAACAAAAUGAUACCUCAC